AUACGAGAACAGACUAGAGAGAAUUGGUUUUUGGUUAUGUGGUGUAUUGACGAUUGUUGACGAUUUUUCUACUCCACAAUAAGGACGAUAAACAAAAAAAUUAUUUAUUAAUUUAAUUCGUCGUAUUAAAAUGGAAUCUAGCAAAUCCGAAUCUACUCCGAAACAGGCUAUGGUAUACAUUUGCGGAGAAUGUCAUCAUGAUAACGAGAUUCGUGCCAAAGAUCCAAUUCGAUGCAGAGAAUGCGGAUACAGAAUCAUGUACAAGAAACGGACGAAGAGACUCGUUGUGUUCGAUGCACGAUAAACACACGAGCGGAUAAUGAAAAGCAGCAUGGGGUGUAGCGUUAAUUUUCUUUACAUUUAUUAGACUAUUUUCUAUGUAAAGAGUUGUACUAUCGUUCCUGCGAGAUCACUAUACAAAGACGCAUUCGUAUUAUCACGAAUCUCCCUUCGUACAAUUUGCGUUAUAAUCUCUCUGGAUCCAAUGGACGUUCCAUCGACUGAUUCCGUUUCGUGCGUAUAUAUCGAUUCAAACACUACAUAAUAUACAAAAUUCUUUAAGCAAUGUUCCUUCUUUUAUUUACAAUAAAUAAAAAUUACAUUCUCAUCAA